UUUCAGUCAGGUUAAAUAGGAUUUGAAUUAUUUACUGUUCAGAUUUUAUGUGAAGCAUUUCAAAAAUGUCUGCUUCAAAGAUUCUGUUGAUGAUACAGAUUUUAUCUUUCUGUUUGUUACUAAUAGAAGCUGGAGAUACUGAGCACGAUGUGCCGGUCUUCAUAGAGAACCUAGACAGAAUAAGCCGUGGAGGUGGGACAGGUAGCAAAAAAAUCAGACAAAGAAAAGAUGAUCAUGAUAAUGACGUCAGGUUUACCAUUCACAUCAAGAGAACAUCUUCCAUCAAAACCCAUCGAUCACGUUACCACAUGAUACAUUAUAAAGACACACGUUAAUAACUUGUUUUCUUGGUUUUAAAAUCAUGGACGAAAUUGUGAAAUGUGUUGA